GAUGAACGCUGGCGGCGUGCCUAAUACAUGCAAGUCGAGCGAAGCGGGGACGGGUGAGUAACACGUGGAUAACCUCCUAUAAGACUGGGAUAACUUCGGGAAACAGGAGCUAAACCGGCUACUUAUAGAUGGAUCAGCGCUUCAUUAGCUAGUUGGUAUGGUAACGGCUUACCAAGGCAAAGAUGCAUAGCCGACCUGAGAGGGUUAUGGGCCACACUGGAACUGAGACACGGUCCAGACUCCUACGGGAGGCAGCAGUAGGGAAUCUUCCGCAAUGGGCGAAAGCCUGACGGAGCAAUGCCGCGUGAGUGAUGAAGGUCUGCGGAUCGUAAAACUCUGUUAUUAGGGAAGCGGUACCUAAUCAGAAAGCCACGGCUAACUACGUGCCAGCCGCCGCGGUAAUAC
rnacentral:rRNA from 1 species